UACACUUUAGUAUAUUGUUGUAUAAAAGUUUUUGAUACUUUUGGGAAUAGGGAAAUCUAUUAAGUGUAU
rnacentral:tRNA from 1 species